rnacentral:rRNA from 1 species
CCUACGGGAGGCAGCAGUGAGGAAUAUUGGUCAAUGGACGAGAGUCUGAACCAGCCAAGUAGCGUGAAGGAUGACUGCCCUAUGGGUUGUAAACUUCUUUUAUAUGGGAAUAAAGUGAGGAACGUGUUCCUUUUUGUAUGUACCAUAUGAAUAAGCAUCGGCUAACUCCGUGCCAGCAGCCGCGGUAAUACGGAGGAUGCGAGCGUUAUCCGGAUUUAUUGGGUUUAAAGGGUGCGUAGGUGGUUAAUUAAGUCAGCGGUGAAAGUUUGUGGCUCAACCAUAAAAUUGCCGUUGAAACUGGUUGACUUGAGUAUAUUUGAGGUAGGCGGAAUGCGUGGUGUAGCGGUGAAAUGCAUAGAUAUCACGCAGAACUCCGAUUGCGAAGGCAGCUUACUAAACUAUAUCUGACGUUGAGGCACGAAAGCGUGGGGAGCAAACAGGAUUAGAUACCCGAGUAGUC